rnacentral:rRNA from 1 species
GACGAACGCUGGCGGCGUGCUUAACACAUGCAAGUCGAACGGAAUGGCCCUGCUUUUGUGGGGUGCUCGAGUGGCGAACGGGUGGGUAACACGUGAGUAACCUGCCCUUGACUUUGGGAUAACUUCAGGAAACUGGGGCUAAUACCGGAUAGGAGCUCCUGCUGCAUGGUGGGGGUUGGAAAGUUUCGGCGGUUGGGGAUGGACUCGCGGCUUAUCAGCUUGUUGGUGGGGUAGUGGCUUACCAAGGCUUUGACGGGUAGCCGGCCUGAGAGGGUGACCGGCCACAUUGGGACUGAGAUACGGCCCAGACUCCUACGGGAGGCAGCAGUGGGGAAUAUUGCACAAUGGGCGGAAGCCUGAUGCAGCAACGCCGCGUGCGGGAUGACGGCCUUCGGGUUGUAAACCGCUUUCGCCUGUGACGAAGCGUGAGUGACGGUAAUGGGUAAAGAAGCACCGGCUAACUACGUG